UAGAAACUAAACUUUUAUUACUCCUUUCAUUCUUUGUGCCGAUUUAUGGGAUUCACUUUUUUUUUUCUCAUCUGAAGAAGAAAGAUGUUAUUCACAACUCAAUUCUUCCACCUCUCUCUCUCUCUCCAUAACUCAUAAAAGCCCUUCUUCACCGCAACAGACGUGGUCCUUGGAACCGUUGCAAUUCCCUUCCCUUUUCACCCUAUCGAAGCAAAUCACGCAGUGGCUUCCAGAACUGCAAAAUCCACCUAGAAAAAUAAAUCUAGAGUCUCAUUAACCAAAGAAAUCUACUGAUUUGCUGAUCACUCUCGAACCAUUUGUUUGACUCACAUCUCUGACCUCCCCGAGUUGGAAUACACCCGUAUGUUCAUUGACGCAGAUGGAUUCUGAUUCCACUUAUUCAAAGAGUUUGAAGCUAAUUUCGGGCGCAGAGGCGAUCUCUAUUCGGUUCUGAUUUCCUCUUAUUGAUUCUCUGAUUAAUAAACCACAAAACAUAUGUUAAAUCAAGGUUAAAAUGUGGGUGGAACAGAUGGAGGCAGCAAACUACUCUUGGAAGAACCAACAACCAAUGUAGUUUUUCAGAUUACAUCUCAUCUAAGAAAUGAGAAUAUCACAUCUGUUGAUGAUCCUCUUCAUGAUAUCUCCAAGGACUGGCUAUACUCUGAAGUUUCAACUGAAUACAGGUUACAUACUACAAGAUAUGAUAAGAGGAAGAACAGUUCGAUGCAGUAGUUUAGGAUGGCAUUGUCAUAUGAUCCAUUGUGUUGGGAAACAUAUGGAGAAAUUUGUAGUUUAGCUUUGUAUGAGGAAUCUGAGCGUCACAGGAGUGGUUAAAUAGCAACAAGGAGAAAGAUUCCCAUGUAGCAGUCAUAUGGAGAGCGCCAAAAACUGUUUCGAUGAGAUAGCAGUGAAGGACGUUUGUUUCUGGACUGCUCUCAUCUACGAGUAUCAUGCACCAUCAGAAGCUGGUGCGGAUAUUCUUUUGGAUUCUUUGAGAAUGGGAACACUUACUGCUGCGCAAAACAUCUUAUUGGAUGGAGACUUACUAUCUAUUCACGAGAAUAAUGCUUCAAGAGCCACCAUCGAAACAUUUUCAUCAACUUCUCCCUUUGCUUCUUCUUCAAUGAUGGAUUUAUAGGACGUAUUUGCUCCCCCACCUCAAAAAGGGGAUAAGGGUCCAACAUUUCCGUCCAUUUUUGCAUUGGAGAGCAGCACUUAGCAAAUAUAAUAUGCCAUUUGAAUUGCGAGAUCUUACUCUAGACGUGUCCACUUUCUUUUAAAGGCUGCAGUUCCAAAAGCCAGGUCCCAAAUUUGUUUUUAUGCUUAAUGUUAUAAUCCUUACGCUUCAUAGUUUAUUCCACACAAUAUUUCCUAAUCAAAAUGCCUCCAUAGAGUUUGGUUCUUAGCUAAAUCGGUCCAAGCUUUUAUAGCAUGAUAAACUAUUGUUUUAGCAAAUUUCUUACUUCAUAAAUUAUAACACUAACUACUCUGGAUAAUGAUUUGUAUGUCUUAGGAUGUUGGUAUAUGUAUUCUUUGUUUGAUCA